UAAUACGGAGGGGGCAAGCGUUACUCGGAAUUAUUGGGCGUAAAGGGCGCGUAGGCGGUCUCGUGCGUCGAGGGUGAAAUCCCCGGGCUUAACCCGGGAACUGCCUUCGAUACGGCGAGACUUGAGUCCGGGAGAGGGGAGCAGAAUUCCCAGUGUAGCGGUGAAAUGCGUAGAUAUUGGGAGGAAUACCAGUGGCGAAGGCGGCUCCCUGGACCGGUACUGACGCUGAGGCGCGAAAGCGUGGGUAGCAAACAGGAUUAGAUACCCUGGUAGUCCACGCCGUAAACGAUGGGUGCUUGGUGUCGGGGGUAUCGACCCCUCCGGUGCCGAAGCUAACGCAUUAAGCACCCCGCCUGGGGAGUACGGUCGCAAGGCUGAAACUCAAAUGAAUUGACGG
rnacentral:rRNA from 1 species